GCGCAGGUGGAGGAGGCGCCCAGGGCGGCAGGUGCUGGGGCGCUCACCUGGGGGACAGCGGUGACGAAAACGCCAGUGUUUUAGAGGCAAACGAGGGAUCUGGGAUACGACAUUGACAGGGAAAAGCCUGAAAUUUUGGCAUGGCCAACUCAGAGUGUGGAGUCAACGCAGGCAUCUAAUCUUAAUUGUGAUCUAAAUUAAUUCAAAUAAUGGAGGAACAGUUUCUUCGGACAAAGGCAGCAGUAAGCUAAAAACAAAAUCAACUGGCUGAAUUUUCCUUCUUUACCUGAAAAACAAAGUACAGAACAAGUAAGAAAUCAAACAGCAUUUUUUGGGAAAAUAAUGUCAAGAGAUAAUAAUACAUAUUUAAGUGGGGUACAGAGAACUGAAUUUACACAAUAAAGUGUUACCCUAUACCAGUGAUUCUAAAAUUUUGGUCUGGGGAACCUUUCAUGGGGUUCAUGAGGUCAAAACUAUUUUCAUGAUAAUGUUAUUUUGCCUGUUAUAUUCUCAUUCUCGAGUAUACAGUAGAGUUUUCCAGAGGCCACAUGAUCCAUGACAUCACAACAAAAUGAAUAGAGACAGAUGAAAAUCUAGCUGGCUUCUGCUACAUGAAUCAGACAUUAAGGGGUCCAGAGACCAUAAAGUGUGACAACCACCACUCUUCACAACCUAUAUAUAAUAUCUCAAAAUAAUGUUAAUUCUCUAUCCUCAAAGUUUAUUUCCUUAUAUCUACAUUUUCUAUGAUCAACACACUCACUACAAAAAAGUCCACUAGCGUUGCCCAGGUGCUCCCGUGAGUUGGCUGCUACUGUGAAGUGGCCCAUCCAUCUAAAUCUCUCAGAGGACAAUUCUAGGAUUACUAAAUUAGCUUAACUUAUAUCUGAAUAGGUUUCUUUUCUGAACAGACAUGGGAAGAAUGUGUGAACUUUACCUCUUGUCUGAGGAUGGAACUUGAUUUUCAUUAAUCCCUGGUUAUUAUAUUAGAAGAAAAAGACAAACACAAAACAAGCAGGUCAAGAAGCAAUCCAUGCUAGUUAAUCACAUAUGCUUUCCAAUGAAAAAAAGUCAAUUGUUAAACUUGAUACCUUGAGUACAUCAUGCAAAAAUACUUACCACAAGAUUCCUUUGAAACAGACUCAAUGACUGUUAUAAAAAGUCAUAGAUUUCAAUCCAGGUUAGAAGCAAUAAAAACAUGCUCAUGCAAGUAGGCAAGACUAUGAAUAUGUAAUUUAAAUUACAAUUUUUCUAUAAAUUAACACAAUAUAUUUAGAGGUUUUUUUUUUUUUUGGAGAUGGAGUCUUGUUCUGUUGCCCAGGCUGGAGUGCAGUGGCGUGAUCUCAGCUCACUGCAACCUCCUCCUGGGUUCAAGUCAUUCUCCUGCCUCAGCCUCCCGAGUAGCUGGGAUUACAGGUGCCCGCCACCACGCCCAGCUAAUUUUUGUACUUUUUUAGUAGAGACGGGGUUUUGCCAUGUUGGCCAGGCUGGUCUGGAACUCCUGACCUCAGGUGAUCCACCCGCCUCGGCCUCCCAAAGUGCUGGGAUUACAGGCAUGAGCCACUGCGCCUGGCCAUAUUUAGUUUUUAGGCUGGCAACUAAUACUUGGACCUCGAAUACUAUGGUUUACUCAUGUUCUUAAUUAUAUUACUAAAUAGCCAAAUAUGUUUAUUUUGUUUUUUGAUCUUUUUCUUUUCCAAGUAUGUUUAAAUAUUCAAGUCUUGAUUCAGAAUAACUGAUAGGUUACAGAGCAUGCAAACCCAUUCACAAGCAAUCCAACCUUGGCACUGCAUAGCUAAGUUUUUGUAUAAGGAUUUAGACUACCUUCCUAGGAAGCAAAAACUUAAUACUCAAUUUCCAAUUAUGUGGAUUCCUUUUUCUAAAUUCUUGGUUUUGUGCAGUGGCACGAUCAUAGCUCACCGCAGCCUAAAACUCCUGGGCUCAAGCAAUCCUCCUGCCUCAAUUUCCUGAGUAGCUAGGACAACAGGCACAUGCCACCAGGCCUGGCUAAUUUUUUCAUUUUUGUAGAGAUGGGGUCUUGCUAUGUUGCUCAGGCUUGUCUUGAACUCCUGGGCUCAAGCAAUCCACUCGCUUCGGUCUCCCAAAAUGCUGGGAUUACAAGCAUGAGCCAAUGCACCCAGCUGUUUCUGUUACUUUUAAAUAGGUUUCCUGCAUUUCUUUUUUUUUUUUUUUUUUUUUUUGAGAAGGAGUCUUGCUCUUUUGCCCAGGCUGGAGUGCAGUGGCGCAAUCUCGGCUCACUGCAAGCUCCGCCUCCCAGGUUCAUGCCAUUCUCCUGCCUCAGCCUCCAUAGUAGCUGGGACUACAGGCGCCCACCACCACGCCCAGCUAAUUUUUUGUAUUUUUAGUAGAGACGGGGUUUCACCGAGUUAGCCAGGAUGGUCUCAAUCUCCUGACCUUGUGAUCCGCCCACCUCUGCCUCCCAAAGUGCUGAGAUUACAGGCGUCAGCCCCUGCGCCCGGCCAGGUUUCCUGCAUUUCUAAUGAAGAAAUAGGCUGGUCCUCAAUUUUGCAGAAGUUGUAUCAUCAUAGGUCAUACCUAACAUUCGUUUGUCAAGAGCAAAAAAACCCCCUUGGGUUCUCUGGAUCUCACACAGCCCACAAACCUUCAGAAUGUGGUUCCUUCCCGCAGGCUUUGUCACACUUAAGAUCCAAGAACAAAUCAGCCUGGCUUUAACAUGGGGUAGAUGGCAAGAAGGAUAAUGGCUAAUAGAAGGUUUUAGUCCUUGUAUUAGUCCCCAUGUUACAGAUGACAAAGCUGAGUAACAGAGAGAGUAUCCUAACCAAGUUCAUCAAGCUAGACACCAUGAGACAGUAUUCUGUGAUGCUGAUAGAACAUUGGUGACCAGGCUGUGAAUGGGUUAGUCCUAACACAGCUGUGCUUAGAAAGUAAAAUAAGAGAAGAAUGCUUAGGAUAGCGAGGCUGAUGGAUCCAACUAACAACUUACACAAAGGUCUCUGUUGGCUCAAAAAGUUCUAGUUGUGUCUCUCUGGCAUUCUGCCCAGUUUCUGCCCUUGAAAAGUAACACUUAAGGAACACUUUAAAUAGUGAUGAACUUUUCCCUGACUCUUAAAACCAUGGACCCACAUUUUCAUACACCCAAUAAAAUGUUAUUUGUCCCUCUUCUGAACUUCCAGUUCUGAAUACAUAUGGCAUUUCAUUCAUUCAUUCAACAUUCACGAAGGAGGUAUGUACCAGGCAAUGGGGACACAAAAGUGAAUAAGAUAUGGUCCCAUCCUAGCCUCGAGGAGCACACAGACAAAUAAAAAGCCAAUUCCUCAUACAAGGCUGUAAGAGCUAAGCUAAAUGGAAGACAGGAUGCUGCAGAAGGCUGCCUCACUCAGACUGAAGGAAGGAGUGUUUUCUGGAAGAAAGGAUUCCCCCAGCUGAGUAAGGAAGGAUACACAGGAGGCAGUCAGAUGAAGAAUCAAGGGAGCAAGGGAAGAAAUAGUGGCUUUUCAGGCUGCAGCACAUGCCACUCCCUGGCCGCGAGAAAGAGUGACGAAUCUGUAGAUCUGGAAGUAGAUCAAGGUGGCUGAGGUUCAAGGACGUGAGAAAUGGUAAUGGUAAGAGACUGGACUGGGAAGAGUGCUGGUGACCAGAAAAUAUAGGAUCACAUACAUCGAGUGUUUCUGCAGAAUGAGUGUAUAACAGAGAAUGGAUUUUGUUAUUUUCCUCAUAACACUGUCACAAGAAUAGGCAAAUUUUUUCGGUGAAGGGCCACACAGCAAGUAUUCUGCACUCUGUGGGUCACACGCUAUCACUCUCCUUUUUCUUAUAUCCCUUUAAAAAUGCAGAACCCAUUCUUAGCUCCAGGCCACAGUUUAGCAACCUCUGUUCUGCUGUGACUUCUUAUUUAGUGUCUGCCUUUACUGUGAAGACUGAGCUCUCUGAAGGCAAAUACUGUUACCACUGUAUCCUCAGUGUCUAGCACAGGGCCUGACACUUAAGGGGCACUCAAAUAAUUACCUUUUUGAACCCAGGAGAGAAAUGACAAGGAUCUGCAUUAAGUGGGCAUAAAGAAGGGGGAAGAUUCAAGAGAUAGUUAGAAGGUAAAACUUAAAGAGCAUGGUAACUGAUUAGCAGGAGGUAAGAAGGAACGAGUCAAAAAGAACUUACUACACGUUUUAUCUAAUCACAAUUACUUGUAUGUUUCUUAUCCUAUUAGAAUAUAAGUGCCUUAAAAGAGAGAAUCACAUCCUUAACACUGUGUCUAGCACUGUACUGUGCACAUAGUGGGUAUUCAACUUAAUAACUUUUUGAAUAAAAUUCCCAUUAUCUUAACCUUUUUUUCAUAAACAUUAAAGUUUUUCAACAACUAAGAAAUUUUCUUGAGGAAAGCAGUAUAUAGUUGGCCCUCAGUAUCCAUGGAUUCAACCAACAGCCGAUGUAAAAUAUUUGGAAAAAAGACAAAAAUAAUGAUAAAAUAAUAAAAACAAAAACCAAUACAACAACAAUUUACAUAGCAUUAUAACUAGAGAUGAUUAAAAGUAUACGAGAGGAUGUGCAUUUUUUAUAUGUAGUACUGUGCUAUUUUAUUUCAGGGACUUGAGGAUCUUCAGAUUUUGGUAUCCUGGGGGAGGUGAGAGUGAGUACUGGAACCAAUCCACUGCAGAUACUGAGGGAUGGCUAUACUAUCUUUUGGUACUGAUAUAGAAAACAUAAUGAUUAAAAAACAUAAUGAUUAAAAAAUUCCUGGACCUUCCCAACAUGCAAUGGUUUAUAGAUUUAUGUAAAACCAAAUCUGAAACUAGCCCUGUAACUCAGAAAGCUUGGCUUACAAUUGUUUAAAUUCCAAAAAAAGAUUUCAUAAAUGAUACUGAAUUAUCCACAUCCCAUUCCUAAUCCUUUAGAAAACCGAAAACUAAGCCCGAGUGUUUCCAGCUGAAACAAUAAAAAUAAAGCAAAGAGGUCCCAUUUUUACCACAUCUUUAUAGCCUAAGAGUUAGGAUGCAAGUUUCAGCAAUGAGUUUCAACUUCAAAAGAAAAAAACGAAAAACUUUUAAGCAUCCAAACAAGCAGACACAGCAAGAGGAAAAAAAAUUCUCUGAAGGCGACAAUCUACAAUUACUCACAGAGCUGCAGCACCAGAGAUAAUUUCAAUCAACUCUUUUGUGAUGACAGCUUGGCGGGUACGGUUGAAUGUCAAUGUCAAUUUGUCAAUCAUCUCAGCUACAAACAAAACAAAAACACUACAUAAAAAAUCUGAAACUAGAGUAGAAUAACUUGUUAACUAACUUCUGUUGCUUAAUUUAAAAGUAAGAAAUUUUUGGAUACCAAAAUUGGCCUCUCAAAUAAUGUUAUGAAGAUAUUUUUACAUCUUCCAUAGGAUACCUUUUCACAGUACUUGCAAAUCAACUACCUAUCAAGAUAUACUUUCUUACAGGUACAGGAAUAUCAUGUUAAUGUUGUUGAUGCUACUCUCGGCCACGGACUCCUCUCAGCUGAGAUUCACUGUGUGCUCACAAGCACUCCUGCUGGCACUGUCCAUACUGUGUACUUACAAGCAUUCUUGCUGGCAUUGUCCAUGGCUGUCAUCCUGGCACUCUGCUCACUAGUGGUGGACUCCUUCAGAGAGUAGUAGAUGAUGUUGGCCAGAUUGUAUUCUUGGUAAUUUUGCAGCACGUCAGCAUCAAUAUCGUCAUAGAUACUCAUGCUGUCUGUUAAAACAAGUGAUGAGUUUCUUUCAAGUUAUAUGGAAGGAAUAGUAAUUCAUCAAAAACAGCUUUUCAGUGUAAAACUCCUUUAUAAUUACAGAGCAGAAAUUAAUGCUAGAUAAGGUAAAUGAAUCUGUUCUAAUAAUGUCAUCUAUUUCCACACUACAGAUGAUAGCAUAUUUUUAGCAAAAUAUAAUGUGUAAA
rnacentral:lncRNA from 1 species